UCCCAGGUAGCUCAGUGGUAAAGAAUCUGCCUGUAGUGCAGGAGACCCAGGUUCGAUCCCUGGUCUAGGAA
rnacentral:tRNA from 1 species